rnacentral:rRNA from 1 species
CCUGGUUGAUCCUGUCAGUAGUCAUAUACUUGUCUCAAAGAUUAAGCCAUGCAUGUGUAAGUAUGAACUAAUUCAGACUCUGAAACUGUGAAUGGCUCAUUAAAUCAGUUAUAGUUUGUUUGACGGUAUCUACUACUUGGAUAGCCAUAGUAAUUCUAGAGCUACUACGUGCAACAAACCCCGACUUCUGGAAAGGAUGCAUUUAUUAGAUAAAAGGUCGAUGCGGGCUAUGGCCAUUGCUCUGAUGAUUCAUGAUAACUCGAUGGAUCGCACGGCCUUUGUGCCGGUGACACAUCAUUCAAAUUUUUACCCUAUCAACUUUUGAUGGUAGGAUGGUGGCCUACUAUGGUGGUGACGAGUGACGGAGAAUUAGGGUUCGAUUCCGAAGAGGGAGCCUGAGAAACGGCUACCACAUCCAAGAAAGGCAGUAGGCACCCAAAUUACCCAAUCCUGACACGGAGAGGUAGUGACAAUAAAUAAUAAUUUCGGGCUCUAUAAGUUUCGUAAUUGGAAUGAGUACAAUCUAAAUCCCUUAAUGAAGAUCCAUUGGAGGGUAAAUCUGGUGCCAGCAGCCGUGGUAAUUUCAGCUCCAGUAACAUAUAUUUAAGUUGUUGCAGUUAAAAAGCUCGUAGUUGAAACUAGGGUUAGGUCAUCCGGUCUGUCUCACGGUGAGCACCGGUCUACUGUCCUUACUGUCGAUGAUGCGCUCCAGGACUUAAUUACCUGGGUCAUUCCUCUGGCACGAUUACUUUGAAGAAAUUAGAAUGCUCAAAGUAGGCCUACGCUUGUAUACAUUAGCAUGGGAUAAAUCAUAGGAUUUCGGUCCUAUUGUGUUGGCCUUCAGAUCGGAGUAAUGAUUAACAGGGACAGCUAGGGGCAUUCGUAUUUUAUAGUCAAAGGUGAAAUUCUUGGAUUUAUGAAAGACGAACAACCGUGAAAGCAUUUGCCAAGGAUGUUUUCAUUAAUCAAGAACAAAAGUUAAGGGCUCGAAGACGAUCAGAUACCGUCUUAGUCUCAACCAUAAACGAUGCCGACCAGGGAUCGAUGGAUGUUACUUUUAGGAUUCGGUCGGCACCUUAUGAGAAAUCAAAGUCUUUGGGUUUCGGGGGGAGUAUGGUCGCAAGGUUGAAACUUAAAGGAAUUGAUGGAAGGGCACCACCAGGAGUGGAGCCUGCGGCUUAAUUCGACUCAACACAGGGAAACUUACCAGGUCCAGACAUAGUAAGGAUUGACAGACUGAAAGCUCUUUCUUGAUUCUAUGGGUGGUGGUGCAUGGCUAUUCUUAGUUGGUGGAUCGAUUUGUCUGGUUAAUUCCAUUAAUGAACAAGACCUCAGCCUGCUAACUAGCUACGUGGAGGUGAUCCUUUGUGGCUAGCUUCUUAGAGGGACUACGGCCGCUUAUGCCAAGGAAGUUUAAAGCAAUAAUAGGUCUGUGAUGCCCUUAGAUGUUCUAGGCCGCACGCGUGCUACACUGAUGUAUUCAACGAGUCUAUAGCCUUGGCCGACAGGCCCGGGUAAUCUUUAAAAUUUCAUCAUGAUGGGGAUAGAUCAUUGCAAUUGUUGGUCUUCAAUGAGGAAUUCCUAGUAAGCACAAGUCAUCAGCUCACGUUGACUACGUCCUGCCCUUUGUACAUAUCACCCGUCGCUCCUACCGAUUGAAUGGUUCGGUGAAGUGUUCGGAUCGUGAUGAUGUGGACGGUCCACCCCCACGAUGUUGCGAGAAGUCCACUGAACCUUAUCAUUUAGAGGAAGGAGAAGUCGUAAUAAGAUUUCCGUAGGUGAACCUAUGGAAG